rnacentral:lncRNA from 1 species
CAGGAAAAGGGGGCAGUUUGCAGAAAGAGACGCAGAGAGCUCAUUACAAACGAUGUCUUCAUAGCUGUCUGACUUGGCUUCGGGGUUUUCCUUCCGUUUCCUCGAUUUAAUUAGCCGUUUCACAGCACUUCCCAUGAUCUGCUCCUUUGAUAAGCCCCAUCCUAAAUUAUACAUGACUGGAGGGUGACGUAUCCUCUCUUCCCAGGGGCAUUUUAUCCCCGGUUUCUGAAGUUGAGUCGCGGAGAUGUUUAGUGAGAUCUGUCUAUUUCCCUGCUCAUCCAGCAUGAAACGGUGUUAAAUAGAAAGUUUUUGUGUUGACCUAGCCCCCGACAGGCUGCAUUUUCCUGCCUUACUGUACUUACCGAGCCUCCAAAUGAAUGCAAGGUGCCUAUCAGGCAGAAACAAUAAAAUCCCGUGGACUUGUAUUCGAGGUCCUAUGCCUUGCAAAGAUAUGUAAAUAUUGCUUUUGAUUCUUUCAGAAGCGAGUGUGCAAGCUGUUAGAAACCCUUCCAAAUGAGGCCGAUGCUCGCCUCAUUGACUGUGCUAUGGAGCUGGAUUCCAAACAGAAGCUCUCCUCUGGCUGCGGUCCGUGGGAUGCAAAGACAAAGCCAAAUUCUAUGGUUUUUGAAAACCAAGGAAGCAGAGGUACUGCCCAGCCGUGCCCGAGAUGUAUUGCUGGAGAAUCUGGACACUUCAAUCAUAUCCUGGGCUUCUAGAGUGAGAGACUGCAGCUCAGCAACACUUUCUACAUGCUAAAGACACCCCUGUGAACACCGUACAGCUGGAUAUCUGUACCUGCCCUCACGGCGUGGAUUUGUGUGUGGUAUGCAGCAUACAGCACUUUGCUGGACGCGUUACUCUUCCCAUGUAUGAUUGCAGCUGACAUUGUUUUUACACUUGAAAAAAUGCUUCUGCUUUUAAGGUAGCUCAGCAGGUACAAAAAAUAUAUAUUUGAUUUAAGUUUUUAGAGUAGGUAAGCUCAUUGAGUCUUUGGCCCAGUCUUCACCCGGGACUGGAUCAAAGAUCAUGCUGAUACAAGAUAUUUUCCUGUCUCUCUUGCUCUGGUACUCUUGGGAGGUGGUCCUUGUGUUUACGUUGGUACAAGGCCUGCGUUUUUAGCUCAGCUCUGUGUAAGCAGGCAGAAAUAGAUGAAAUUCAUUUUUAGACAGAGAGCUAAUCAGCUUUGCAGCUCUGCGAAGGCCAGUAAAAAUCCUACUGAAACUUAAUGUUAUGGUAAAAUCCAAAGUAUGCAUCCAGUUCAGGAACCUUUUGUACAUGCUAAAGAUCUACUUCGUAACGAGUACAGUUUGUGAACGGGACAGGUAAAUAUCUAACAGAAAAAUCAGUAUUAUUGGAACAGCACUGUAAUGCAAAGAUGGAUGGUAUUUUAGAUCUAGGCACUUCUCUGAAAGUUGCUGAAGAUGCCAUUUGACACCCGGACUCCUCCUUCCCACUUACGGUAAUACUAGAACAAAUCUGUUUGAGAAGUUUGAGCUUGUUAUCCAACAUGAUUUUAUUGGCUGACCACAGAUAAUUUCCUCUACAUUUUGGCAGUAUGCAGGACUGUAAUUUUUAAACACAUUCAGAUUUUUAGUCUCUUAAGGUAUCUGAGUUGUGCUGCUUGGAUGUGACACCUCAGUGGCUGCUUCAGGUCCUAAAUCUCAGAACCGAGCAGCAGCGUGUUAACCUUCUGCAUUGGAGGGAAACUGCUGUGACCUGCCAAAGUUCAUGCAGGAAUCAAUCUCUGCUGUUGGAGAAGUGCUGAGCCAUAGCCGUGCCCUGCUGCCACCGAGCCUGUGGGCAGAGUUCAGCCCAAAGCAGAUAUCGCAGGGAGAACAGCGUUUGGCCCCUCCUGUUUUGAAAGCAGACAUUAGGCAGUGCAAAUUAAAAUGGUGGCUCCAAAGUUGCAAAGAUCUAGUGACAGGCUUUUAAACCUUACUUUCCCAGUGGGGUUUAUCAUACUGUGAAAUGCUUAGACGAAGCUUUUCACAGUCUUAGAGUGCUUCCCAUGUUGUGUGUGGAGUUGUAGCUAGCGCUGAGUUGACUGUUAUUAAGAAGAUAUUCUUCCUAAAUACAUGAAUAUCCUCUAAAUACUGAAUUGAAUUAAGUGAUAAAUGAGGAAAUAAGUCUGUUAAGCAGAGCUGCAGUAAAUUGGUAUCCAAAGUGUUUUGUUAGGAAAGAAUAAAUUUCCUCCAAGCCAAUAUAAAUUUUAGAUACACUGAAAAUAAAUCUUUGCAUAGUGCAAAUUUUUUCAAAAACCUCAAAAUCUUCUUCAGCCACAGAAGCAGUACAGUCUGUUCAAAGAGUAAAUCACUAAGAAGCACAGUGGUUUUAAAAAUUGUAUUGGCCCUGUUUGUUAAGGUAAGAGACUCACCUUAAACUAUCUAACUCCCAGUACAGGUUGAUAGAAGCAAUAGUUAUUUAUCCAAGCUGGAAAGGAACGUGUUCUCACUUGAAACAAUACAAGUGCAUGAGCAAAAUCCCAUAAACUGUUAUCAGAGUUGAUCAACUAAUGCAAAAUAGGAAUACAAAAUGUUUUCUAAAGACGCUGUUUGCUCUGAAAUUACAUGUUUGUUACUAAGAUAACUACAUCAUAUUUUGGGAGCAGUUCAUUUUUACACAAUUUUCCAAUUUUUAUUUUUAGAAAUCCUGGUAAUAAUAGCAGCCAAGAAAAAAGCUGCCUAAGUAUCAGUUUCUGUGCUGUAAAAGUUGAAAUAGCUACCUAAAAGUUUAAUCUCUGCAAAACGACUCAAAACCUAUUAUGCUUCAUUGACUACAUGUUUGGCAAGGAGCAAUUAGCAGAACAGUGUAUAGUCAAAAUUUAGGGUAUCUGAAGACAAGAGUAUCAGAAGUACACUUGGACUCUUGAAUGGAAAAGUCUUAUGCUGGAAUAUAAAAGAGCAAAUAAUUACACCAGCAUGUUUAAAACACAGGGAAUAGUUCUGUGUAUCAUCAAACCAGAGUGUUUUCUGUUUAAAUAAUUCAAAUUUCAUCAUGUUAAGAAUUCACGGAUGCCAGUGCCUCUGUUUCUUCUGUUUGCUUUAAACUUAACUGUAUUUUAAUCUGCUAUAGAGUAAGGUAAAAUGAGAACCAAGUGAUUUUCCUUGUGAUCCUUGUAGUUUUUGUCAUGUUCUUUUUAAUUCCUCACCCUUCAGAGUGGCGGUCACUUGUUUUUUGUGAAGUCUCACCGUACAUAAAUCAGGGAAUUGGUCAUAGUUGCUGGCUGCAUUACAGAGGCCUGAUGAAGUCAUACUACUGUUCGAUUUUAAUGUAAUUUUUUCAUAUCAGCCUUCUCAUCGUUGCUGUGCACUGUACAGGUAUUUUAUUACACUGUCCACAGUGACUCUCAGGUCUGUCCUUGGAGAUUACUGCAUCUGUACAGCUCUAGAAAAUAGGAGAACUUUAUACUUUAUACUGCUUUUACUCUGUAACCUGCAGUGUGACCAUGGCCACUUGUACUUUCUUUACACUGUUAGAAACAUAAUGCUGCAGUUCACAGCAAAUCUAAUUGGUUAGGGGGUUAUGUUAUGAGCACAUUUUGAAUCUCUAAAUGCUACGCUAUAGAAAGUAAACUUGAGUAAAAUGUAGGGUCACAAGUAGAGGGUUUUGUUUGUUGGUUUAAUUAUAGCCUUUUACAUUCUCCAGGAGCACAACAAUAUGUCAGAUCAAUUCUCUAGUAAUAUUUAAACUAAAUACAAAACUUUGUUGUCCUACCAAUUUCAUCUGUUUGGAGAAUAAACUCCAAAAAUAGAUUUAGAUGAAGACCACCUAGUGGAAACUCCCUUCAUUUUCAGUCCAUCCCAAUUAUCAUUGUAGUUAUACAGAGUGUUGUAAAUAAAAUGCAUCAGUAUUGAAAAGGAAUGAAAAAACAGUUGGUUAUUACCAUCUGCUGCAUUAUAACACAGUUUGUAAUGAAAGAAUGAGUACAAAAAGUACUUUUUGAUACAGAAAUGUAAUGCCUUCCUUCCGUAGCAAAGAUUUAUAAGAAAGCCUAUCUGUAUCUUUCUAUUCCUUCAGAUUUGACGAGUGUUUUAAUCCUUGCUUCCUUACCAUUUCAAUUUCCAGGAUAAUUUUCCCCAGUUAUUUAACUGCAGCAGCACCAGGCUGGGUCAGCUGGGAACACCCAGUUCAAUCUCCUGUAUGCUCCAGUGACUAGUAGCAGACAGCCACAUGGGAAAGGUCUAAGAAACGGGGCAUGUGCUGAAUAGAAACACUUUUUACAAAUAGAAAAACAGUGUUUUAUGCCAUGUUCUGUUGUGGGCGUUCAGUCUUGCCUCAUAGCUAAGUCCUGAACAUCAGGUAUCACAAAAAUUAGGAAAAUGCUGAUAGUUUCCAGUGGUAUUUUUGUCCUCAUGCUUGUUUAUCAAUACAAACGUGUGGCAGGCUUCAGGCAAAUGUUCUAUUUGACUUUUCCUUUCUCAUUAAACAUCGGUGCCUUCACUAUUUAAGAAGUAAUUCCUGUUUGACUUGAGUUUAAAUGUUUUUGUGUAGUCAAAUGUAAUUUGUACAGUAUAAGGAUACUCUACCUAGUAUUUGUUAAAAAUAGCAGCUCCCUCUUUUCUGUUUUUCUUGAGUUUGCAGAGAAUUUAAAAAAUAAAAACAAACCUCUGGGAAUUGCAGUUCAAGGUAGGACGCAGAAGGGUAAUUGCACUGUCUUUUUUUUUCCAGUGUUCUGCAUUCUUCCUUUUUGUGUGAGGCUAUAAGUGCUAAAAAAAACCCUUGAGAUUUUUACUUACUUUUCUGAAUGCUACUGUUGAUAAAGUAUUCUGGGUAGAUGUAAAUUCUAGUUAUAUGGUGUGUAAAGUAUCCAGAAAUGAAACAAUAGAUGUUGCUCACUUUGUGAUGCUGAUUUUUCUCUGCAAGCUCUUCACUGGGGGCACAGCACCUGCUGAAUAUCCUUGAGCCCAGCUCCUUUGGUCCUUGUAAAGUGGCUGCUAGGUUUAUUCCUGCUGCACUGUUAACUGGUAUUUCCAGCUGACUAGAAACACGGCAAGAACAACUUCUGUUCAGAAGCCUCAUGGACAUCCAUGGUUGUUUUCACAACUGAGCUGCAUACACUUCUGUGUAAACCCUAAAGAGAAUCUUUAGGCCGGGAUGCGAUUCCUUCCUCCGUGCCUUCUGACAGGGUAAGGAAUGCAUUUAUAGACCAGCCAUGGUGAAACCAAACCGCAAUUGAAAUACUUUGAUAUAUUGAAGACAUAAUUAUAACAGUGUGGGAGGUUUUUGUUUGCUUGCUUGCUUUAGCAGAUGUACUGUAUUUGUAAUUCAUUUCAAGAUUUGUUGUCAGAAUCAUGAAGUAAUUGUAAGAGGUACAGCUGAAUGCCAUGAAGUUUGGGACAGGUAAACAUUUCUAUAAGGCAGAUUUGUGUAAAAUCUGCAGUAGAACCUCAAAACUAUUUUUGUAAGACUUUCUUCACCUUGUAUAACUGAAAUUUUGUUUUAUUGAUAAAUAUUAUAUACUCUUUAUAUUUCUUAAUGCUGUGGUUUGUACACAAGAUAACUCAAGUGAAA